UGGGGAAUAUUGGACAAUGGGCGAAAGCCUGAUCCAGCCAUGCCGCGUGUGUGAAGAAGGUCUUCGGAUUGUAAAGCACUUCAAGUUGGGAGGAAGGGCAGUAAGCGAAUACCUUGCUGUUUUGACGUUACCGACAGAAUAAGCACCGGCUAACUCUGUGCCAGCAGCCGCGGUAAUACAGAUGGUGCAAGCGUUAAUCGGAAUUACUGGGCGUAAAGCGCGCGUAGGUGGUUCGUUAAGUUGAAUGUGAAAGCCCCGGGCUCAACCUGGGAACUGCAUCCAAAACUGGCGAGCUAGAGUAGGGCAGAGGGUGGUGGAAUUUCCUGUGUAGCGGUGAAAUGCGUAGAUAUAGGAAGGAACACCAGUGGCGAAGGCGACCACCUGGGCUCAUACUGACACUGAGGUGCGAAAGCGUGGGGAGCAAACAGG
rnacentral:rRNA from 1 species